rnacentral:rRNA from 1 species
UGCUUCGGAAUCUUCCUAGUAGUGGGGAAUAACCUGGGGAAACUCAGGCUAAUACCGCAUACGACCUACGGGUGAAAGCAGGGGAUCGCAAGACCUUGCGCUAUCAGAUGAGCCGAAGUCGGAUUAGCUAGUUGGUGGGGUAAAGGCCUACCAAGGCGACGAUCCGUAGCUGGUCUGAGAGGACGACCAGCCACACUGGGACUGAGACACGGCCCAGACUCCUACGGGAGGCAGCAGUGGGGAAUAUUGGACAAUGGGGGCAACCCUGAUCCAGCGACGCCGCGUGUGUGAAGAAGGCCU